rnacentral:rRNA from 1 species
AGCCUGAUCCAGCAAUGCCGCGUGAGUGAAGAAGGCCUUCGGGUUGUAAAGCUCUUUUGUCAGGGAAGAAAAGGCUACGGAUAAUACCUGUGGCUCAUGACGGUACCUGAAGAAUAAGCACCGGCUAACUACGUGCCAGCAGCCGCGGUAAUACGUAGGGUGCAAGCGUUAAUCGGAAUUACUGGGCGUAAAGCGUGCGCAGGCGGUUUUGUAAGACUGUCGUGAAAUCCCCGGGCUCAACCUGGGAAUGGCGAUGGUGACUGCAAGGCUAGAGUUUGGCAGAGGGGGGUAGAAUUCCACGUGUAGCAGUGAAAUGCGUAGAUAUGUGGAGGAACACCGAUGGCGAAGGCAGCCCCCUGGGUCAAAACUGACGCUCAUGCACGAAAGCGUGGGGAGCAAACAGGAUUAGAUACCCUGGUAGUCCACGCCCUAAACGAUGUCUACUAGUUGUCGGGUCUUAAUUGACUUGGUAACGCAGCUAACGCGUGAAGUAGACCGCCUGGGGAGUACGGUCGCAAGAUUAAAACUCAAAGGAAUUGACGGGGACCCGCACAAGCGGUGGAUGAUGUGGAUUAAUUCGAUGCAACGCGAAAAACCUUACCUACCCUUGACAUGGAUGGAAUCCCGGAGAGAU